rnacentral:lncRNA from 1 species
UUCAGCCUAGGUUCUCUGCACCUUCUGCACUUUUUCACGGUGCGCUGCACCUCGGUCCUCGAUUCCCGAAGGUACAGCGGCGCCCCCUGCACCACCGUCCUCGAUUGUGGCGGGUGCAGGUAAGGUGCUGCCGCGGUGCCGCGAACCCUUGAACCUCCCAGCACGAGGGUGCAGCAUUUUGGGUGCAGCCACGCAACCCGCUCCCCGCGCAUGCUUUGCAGACAGCAGACGACAACGCGACCAGCAGACGACAAAUAUGCCGGUGGUCGCGGACAUCGACGGUGUCCAGACCGAAAUUUUCCCCAUCGUGGACGAGUUUGGAGUCAUCGUCUUUGACGGCGAUGCCGAACUCUACACUACCGCAGGUAAUUUUGGAAAAGCAUGCUGGACCCUUUGUCCGCUCACUGGCACGACGGGGACAUUUCUUCGUUACCCUUUGUUUUGUUUUUUUUUUGUGGUUGUUUUGCCUUUUUCAGAUGGGAGACAACUGCGGGUAGUUUGUGCGUCGGGUCGUCUUGCCAAUGCUGACCCGACAAACGAGCAUGCCAUGCAGGCUAUGCCUACAACGCAGCCAACACCGCCAAACCAUGCUGAGCCGACGACGCAGGCGUCCGCUGCUGCAGCUGCUGCGCUUUCUCCGGGUCGUGCGCGUCGCGACGACUCGGAAGAAGCUCUAUGGAACGGUCGGAGGACCCGAUUUUUGAUUGAAAAAUAUAAGGAGAAUUUCAGAAACAUUGGCAAAAAGGGAGGACUGAAGUGAGGCAGUGAUGAGCACGUUGGUGAUAAGCACGUGUGCAUUACUUCGUUUACUUUUUUUUUGCUCAGAGGAACAAAAAGCAGCUGUUCCUAUACUUGACGGAUGCCCUGAAUGAGGAGUUCGAGUGCUCUUUGAGUGUGCUCCAAGUUAAGUGGAAGUCACUUGAAAGGGCUUACAAAAGAGCCCGAGAAAACAAUCGGAAGUCCGGCAGCGGAACUGUGGAGUGUAGGUUUGAAGAAGAGAUGGCAGACAUCAUGGAUAAACAACACCAUGUUAGCCCAAUCGUGACUUACACACAGGGGCGCAAAAUGGUCCGAGAGGACAAGGAAACAGAACCAGAGGCUCAAGUGCAAGCUGCAGCCCCAGCCAGCCAGGAGUCUAGUGCUGAGGAAACAGCAGAAGUGCAGAAGCGUAAGGCGAAAGAUCCGCUUUUGGUGCAGCUUCUGCAGAAGCUCGAAGAGAUUGAAAAAAACAGGGCUGCUCGACACACAGAGAAAAUGGCCCUGCUGGAACGUUUUGUGACAGCAUAUGAAGCAAAAAAAUAAACUUCUUGUUCUCAUGAAGUCUCGUUUUAUGGCAUUUGUACAAAUCACAUAGGAAGGUGAAAAUCGGAGGAGCAAAGCGUGCGAAACACACGAUUUCAAGU